rnacentral:tRNA from 1 species
GCGGCCAUCGUAUAAUGGCAGUACAUGAGCUUCCCAAGCUCUUAGCGCGGGUUCGAUUCCCGCUGGCCGCU